rnacentral:tRNA from 1 species
AGUAGAGUGGCUGAGUUGAAAGGUGAUAGAUUGUAAAUCUAUUAAGGGGUUUAUUCCCCUCUACUA